rnacentral:snRNA from 1 species
GUGCUCACUUUGGCAGCACAUACACUAAAAUUGGAAUGAUACAGAGAAGAUUAGCAUGGCCCCUGCGAAUGGAUGAUGUGCAAAUUUCUGAAGCAUUCCAUAUUUUU